CCUACGGGAGGCAGCAGUGAGGAAUAUUGGUCAAUGGGCUUACGCCUGAACCAGCCAAGUCGCGUGAGGGAAGACUGCCCUAUGGGUUGUAAACCUCUUUUGUCAGGGAGCAACGCCGGCUACGUGUAGCCGGACUGAGAGUACCUGAAGAAAAAGCAUCGGCUAACUCCGUGCCAGCAGCCGCGGUAAUACGGAGGAUGCGAGCGUUAUCCGGAUUUAUUGGGUUUAAGGGGUGCGUAGGCGGAAUGCCAAGUCAGCGGUAAAAUCGCGGGGCUCAACCUCGCUCCGCCGUUGAAACUGGCGGUCUUGAGUGGGCUAGAAGUAUGCGGAAUGCGUGGUGUAGCGGUGAAAUGCAUAGAUAUCACGCAGAACUCCGAUUGCGAAGGCAGCAUACCGGCGCCCAACUGACGCUGAAGCACGAAAGCGUGGGUAUCGAACAGGAUUAGAUACCCGAGUAGUC
rnacentral:rRNA from 1 species